AGGUGGCACAUGAUUACAAUGGUAAUGACCAUUCACAAAAUAUGGUUCAAGAUGACUUGCAACUUACUAGGCGAGUUGCAAGCACUGUGGGUCGUCCAAGGAAUCGUGAAGAUGUUAAUACUAUUGAAGAGCAAAGUCGCAGGCGAGACAUUGCAACAAUGGUUGGUAAAGAAGUGAUAUUAUAUUCUAUGAUGAGAUCUGAAGUUCCUGUUGCAAUAGCAAAUAUUAUCUCAACCGACCCAACCACUAAGGUGGGAGAUGUUCCUCUUGGAAGGGAGUUCACACAAGUUUUUGUGACUCGCGUGCUAAAAAGGGAAAGUACUCUGCCACGACCAUACUUAGGUGUAGAGAGUAUGGGGGAUGCUCUUUUUAUGCCCGUUGCAUGGCCAACAAACAAGAUGAGUCGUAACAAACAAUCAACGUUGAUCCAAGGUUCUACAGCAGCAGGUAAAUAUUUU